ensembl:lncRNA
AUCACAACUGGAGGAGACAGGUGUCAGCAGGAGGAGGCAGGGAACUGGUCUGUCUGCCCAAUAUAAAGGAUCACAACUGGAGGAGACAGGUGUCAGCAGGAGGAGGCAGGGAACUGGUCUGUCUGCCCAAUAUAAAGGAUCAAAACUGGAAGAGGCAGGUGUCAGCAGGAGGAGGCAGGGAACUGGUCUGUCUGCCCAAUAUAAAGGAUCACAACUGGAGGAGACAGGUGGCAGCGGGAGGAGGUAGGGAACUGGUCUGUCUGCCCAAUAUAAAGGAUCACAACUGGAGGAGGCAGGGAACUGGUCUGUCUGCCCAAUAUAAAGGAUCAAAACUGGAGGAGGCAGGUGGCAGCGGGAGGAGGUAGGGAACUGGUCUGUCUGCCCAAUAUAAAGGAUCACAACUGGAGGAGGAAUAAAAACAGCAUAAAUAGGAAAGUAUACCAGUUUCAUUUGAGGACCAGGAUGUUGACAACUGCCAUACAGAUUGCAGAAUAUUUAGGAGGAGAUGUUUGAUGUACUGAUUCCAUGGUACAGGGUGUAUGAGUUUAUAUAUAAAACAAUGCGAUAUUCAAGACUUCGUGAUUUUCAUCAAACAUUAUUAUAUAGACAUAUAGAAAGAUUAUGUACAUAAUUCUUGCCACCAACAAAAUGUUUAAUAUUUGGGGCAUAAAAUCAUCGAAGAUCUGCAGAUUUUGUUGUGAGGAUACAGAAUCAAUAGACCAUUUAUUUUGGUAUUGCCCUCAGGUAGCCUGUUUCUGGUCUCAGGUUCAGGAAUGUCUGAAAAUUCAUAGCAUUGAUCUAAAAUUGACCCUAGAAAUAGUACUGUUAGGAGAUCUGGAGAGACCUGGUCAGUCAAUUACUAAUAUACUAAUACUCCUAGUAAAAGUAUUUAUCUUCAACUCGCAAUCUGUAGAUUCUAUUCCAUUAGAUAGAUUGAAUUAUACGUUAAACAUCACAGCAUAGUUGAAAGAUAUAUGUUGCAUAUAAAUCCGAAGAGGGUGGCCAACAGAGACAGGUGGGAUGGGCUGAGGGAAGCUGAGGGUUGGGAUGUGGAACUAGAGACAAGUGGGAGAGGCUGAGGGAAGCUGAGGGUUGGGAUGUGGAACUAGAGACAAGUGGGAGGGGCUGAGGAAGCUGAGGGUUGGGAUGUGGAACUAGAGACAGGUGGGAGGGGCUGAGGGGAGCUGAGGGUUGGGAUGUGGAACUAGAGACAAGUGGGAGGGGCUGAGGGGAGCUGAGGGUUGGGAUGUGGAACUAGAGACAAGUGGGAGGGGCUGAGGGGAGCUGAGGGUUGGGAUGUGGAACUAGAGACAAGUGGGAGGGGAGCUGAGGGUUGGGAUGUGGAACUAGAGACAAGUGGGAGGGGCUGAGGAAGCUGAGGGUUGGGAUGUGGAACUAGAGACAAGUGGGAGGGGCUGAGGGGAGCUGAGGGUUGGGAUGUGGAACUAGAGACAAGUGGGAGGGGUGCUGAGGGUUGGGAUGUGGAACUAGAGACAAGUGGGAGUGGAGCUGAGGGUUGGGAUGUGGAACUAGAGACAAGUGGGAGUGGAGCUGAGGGUUGGGAUGUGGAACUAGAGACAAGUGGGAGUGGAGUUGCUCUGUGGGAGAUAGAAUGAUGGCCAAAGAUAAAAGUCAAUAUAAAACAUUAAAAAAGUAUGUUUGAAUGACACUAAGUGGCAGUGUUUUUUCAACUAAUGUCAGUUUGCCUGAGGCUGAUGCCGUGCAGGUGUUUGUACACAUGAAUACACACACACUCUCAUUCAAAUACACACAUACAAGAACACACACAUACAUGUAAUAGUGCCAGACAUGCACACAAACAUAUACAGUUGGCAUUGCUGUUAUGAUUUCAGUUGUCCAUGAUGGCCUUUGUCUUUUGUGUGUGUUGUUUUGCAUUUGUUGUUUUCCUGUUUUUUUCUGUCUUUGUCUUUUUUCUCUUUAGUUCAUUCUCUUGGUUGUUGGUGCACAAAUGUUUGAGGGGCAGCUAUUGGGGAACUGUGGGGGAGAUCUUGGAGGGUUCGGGUUUAUGUUUUUGGCCUGGUGGGAGAUCUGUCAACAUGCCCUUGAGCAGGGCAUUGACCCUGGAUGCUUCUGUGUGUCGCUCUGAAUGGGAGUCUGUUGGAUGACUGGUGUGAUGUAGUUGUUGAAUGGGAGUCUGUUGGAUGACUGGUGUGAUGUAGUUGUUGAAUGGGAGUCUGUUGGAUGACUGGUGUGAUGUAG